GCCAGCAGUCAUAUCACUAUGCAACUCGCAAUUGGCAACCCACUCAGCUCAGCAGGUGUGAGCCUGGUCAGUACCUGGAUGGGAGACCUCCUGGGAAAAACUAAGGUUGCUGCUGGAA
rnacentral:rRNA from 1 species